GAAACCUAUGGGGAGCUCCUCGGCGGGGCGGCUUUGAUGAUUUCUUCAGACACAUGGAGCAGACUGACAAAUGGACUCUCAAGUGAAAGGUCAGUGCCGAGAACCGAACGGAUAGAGCAUCUGGAUUCACAAUUAAAACGCCCGCAGAGCACGGUUUGCAGCUCCGGCGUCUCAUUGUGUAGGAGGUGCUGUCGGAGGGACUCAUUUGGCAGCUGUUUCUGACUCUGGAUUGGGAUGGGAGAAAAUAAAAAUUCCUUUCGGUCGUCUGUGCGUGCGUGUGCCGCGCACCCGCGAUUUCGUGCGGGUGUUGGGAGAGAAAUCGUGCUGUUUGGCAACAGCAGAAACAGCCCUCUGCUAACUCAGCUCUGCCCCAGAGCUGACCUCCGGAACGGUCGGUCCAGGGCGAGUAGAUCCUUAGAAGAGCUGGCUGGCCCAUCGCUGCGCCCACCUUACGCAGCUGCGGGUUCAAGAGCACCGAGGACGGCGUCUGAAAACCAAGUUUAAUCACUGAUUUACUCUCUGACCGUGGGUAACUUGUCGUUUACCAUGUGGACGGGCUUCCACACCUGCGGAACGUGUUUCUGUUCAUCCCGUGGAACGGGACGCUGCGCCCCACUGGUGCUGUUCCCCCGCGUGCCUUGGUCGUAAGAACACGUGUUCUGUGUCUUUCCAUACCCAGAGAUGUGGGGAAAGAUGUGGGGAUAGGAUGUUCCUAAGAAAAGCCUGAGGGUUGAUUCAUUGUCCUUUGGUUACCUGCCUCCUCCCCCUGCUGAGGUCAGACAUUUCAGACUUGUCAAAGAAGCAAUGGGCCUACCAAGUUGAGCAAGACAACUUCAGUUGUGAAAAUUAUGAUUGGAGAAGUUUUAGCCACCUAUCUCUUCUUCUCCCAUAAGUUACUUGUGGUCAGCCACGGUCGGGAGGCGGAUUAUGCCUGUGAUAACAGAAGGUCAAUGGUAGCCUGAUGCUAUCUGUCCUUCACCUCACUUCACCUCAUCUCAUUUUAUCAUCCCAUGUCACCACAAGAAAAAGGGCACCUGGGGAGACCUGACGACUAGCUGGCCUAGGCUGUUUCUUAAUGGCUUCCUGAGGCUGCAAUGAUGCCUGCUUCCCAUACUGCAAGUGCAUUAAAGGUAGGGAUGGGGCCACUCGUGAAGUUAUGGGCUGAGUUGGGUACCCUCCAUAUUCAACUGUUGAAAUCCCAACCCCUAGCUCUCCUCAGAAUGUAAUGAUAUCAGAGGUUAAAUUUGAAUGAGGCCAUUAAGGUGGGGCCCUCAUCCAAUGAGCGGCAUUCUUAUGAGAAAGAGAAACUAGGACGCAGGUGGAGAGAGACUAGAGGUGUCUGUGAACAGAGGAUCGACCAUGUGAAGGGGGAUCCAGAGGGUAGCCAUGUUCAAGUCAACCAGAGAGGUCUCAGAGGAAACCAACUCUGUAGGCACCUUGACCUUGGACUAUCAGCUUCCUAAACUGUGAGAAAAUAAGUAUCUGUUGUUUAAGCCACCCAGUCUGUGGUAUUUUAUUAUGGCCUCCAAGCAUACCAGUAUGUUUGGAUUCAUUAAUACACUCAACAACUACUUGUUGAACAUUUACGAUGUGCCAGAUACGGUUUAGAUGGUGGCACGUACAGAGCUGAGGAAGAAUCUGGGUCCUUGCUGUCAGAGAGUUUCUGUUUCAAUGGGAGGGGAAGGUCACUAAAAAGGUAAAGUAAUAAGCUGAUUUUAGAGAAUGGUAAGUGUUAUGAAGGAGACCCAAUAGGAUUGUGUAAUGGAGAAUAUAGGGGAGCGGCUUUGAACAGGGCAUUCAGAAGAAGGCCUUUUGGGAGGUAAUGUUAGAGCUGAGACCUGAAAAUAAGAUUCAAGCCAUGCAAAGACAUGGGAAGGAGAGUGCGCAAAAGUCCUUGGGCAGGAGCACAUUGAUUGAUGUCUUUGAGGAACAGAGAGAAAGCCAGUGUGAGUGAGACAAAAGUGAUCAUUUACAUCAAUUGGAAUUUAUGUCAAUUGGAUCAUUUAUGUCAAAUGGGCUGCAGUGGCUAGGGACACAGCUCUGCCCUCCUCAAAGUUGGCGAGGGUGGUCAAAGGUCACAAAUUGAAGGAAGCAUAUAUAGAGGUGAGAGACACAGAGCAGAAUCCUGACAAAGGAAUCUGAGCUCCACCUACAUGGUUGGCCUGGAAGACUGGUUCUCAAACUGACCAGGAUUAAUGCUUCUUUUUUAGAGCAAAUAUUUUAUAAGAACCUUUUCAUUAUCCCCAUCC